GAUGAACGCUGGCGGCGUGCCUAAUACAUGCAAGUCGAGCGGAGCGGGGACGGGUGAGUAACACGUGGAGAACUUCCUUUAUGACUGGGAUAACCUCGGGAAACCGGUGCUUAACCGGACACUUAAAGAUGGAUCCGUACUGGAUUAGCUAGGUGGUAAGGUAACGUCUUACCAAGGCAACGAUGCAUAGCCGACCUGAGAGGAUGAUCGGCCACACUGGGACUGAGACACGGCCCAGACUCCUACGGGAGGCAGCAGUAGGGAAUAUUCCGCAAUGGGCGAAAGCCUGACGGAGCAACGCCGCGUGUAUGAUGAAGGUCUUCGGAUCGUAAAGCUCUGUUAUUAGGGAAGCGGUACCUACACAGAAAGCCCCGGCUAACUACGUGCCAGCAGCCGCGGUAAUAC
rnacentral:rRNA from 1 species